rnacentral:rRNA from 1 species
AAUCUCUUAGAAAUAAGAGAGUGCCUCAUUAGAGGAGCCUGGUGACAGGUGCUGCAUGGCUGUCGUCAGCUCGUGUCGUGAGAUGUUGGGUUAAGUCCCGCAACGAGCGCAACCCUUGCCUUUAGUUGCCAUCAUUAAGUUGGGCACUCUAGAGGGACUGCCGGUGUCAAACCGGAGGAAGGUGGGGAUGACGUCAAGUCCUCAUGGCCUUUAUGACCAGGGCUACACACGUACUACAAUGGCAUGUACAAAGGGCAGCCACUUCGCAAGAAGGAGCGAAUCCUUAAAACAUGUCUCAGUCCGGAUUGGAGUCUGCAACUCGACUCCAUGAAGUUGGAAUCGCUAGUAAUCGUAGAUCAGCAUGCUACGGUGAAUACGUUCCCGGGCCUUGUACACACCGCCCGUCACACCACGGGAGUUGGUUGUACCAGAAGUAGUUGAGCGAACCUUUCGAGGGCGCAGACUACCAAGGUAUGGCUGGUAACUGGGGUGAAGUCGUAACAAGGUA